rnacentral:tRNA from 1 species
AGGGCCAUAGCUCAGUUGGUUAGAGCGCUACCUUGACAUGGUAGAGGUCGUAAGUUCGAGUCUUAUUGGCCCUACCA